UUGCUGUCAUUCUACAAACAUGGCAGUUGCUUCACAAUACAGGCUGGAUUUUAAAUCUUGGCAGUGCUAGUUACUGAUUACAGCUGAAAUUCAUUAGUAAGGGUCAUCUCCAAAUUCCAAAUUUUCAAAACACUGUACUUGUAAAUACACUUAAUGGUAGUUGUCAAUACCUGAAGUUCACAGUGUUCUUUAAAGAAAAAUGUUAUCCAUUGCAUUUGUUAGUAACCUUUCAAUAAACAGAGUAUGAAUAUAGUUAUGUAGGUAUUUGGAGUCCUAUUGAUUUAUGUAUAAUCAAAGUAAAGUAUUUUACUUCUUUUCACAGAGAAUGAAGUACUCUGGGAUUCACAGGAAAGAGCCAGUAAGGAUCAAAAUGAUGUGUCAUUCCCUUAAAAAGGAAGAAAAAAAAACUGUGAAAAAAACAGGCCACAAGAAUCAAGAUAGAAAAGCUGUUUUCCACAGAAUUCUACUGAGCAGUAUCACCUCAUCUUCAGGGUCUUCAGAAGACUGGAAAGCUUUCCUUGAGCAGAGCGUGUUGUGGAGGUGAAUGGAGGAGCACAGACAAAUCACAUGUUCUUCUGUUGGACAGGUCAGACCUACCAGGUCUGAAGAUGCAAGAACCAAGGCAUAGCUUAGAGUAGCCCUAAAGCUUCUUUAAGUUGUGCUUGGGAAACAGUUGUCUUUACGUGGCUUUUGGGGUGGAAAGAACAUAAGCAUGUUUAGUUCAUACCAUCUCUUCUGUAAUUACCUGAGGCAUGCUAUUGUCACACACAAUCAAUCAUCUGACUUCUUAAGUAUCAUUCUUACUUUAAUAAAAUUUCAAAAUAUAACCCUCA